GACGAACGCUGGCGGCGUGCUUAACUCAUGCAAGUCGAACGAAGUGGCGAACGGGUGAGUAAUACGUGGGUAACCUGCCCUCCUUUUUGGGAUAAGCCUUGGAAACGGGGUCUAAUACCGAAUAAAGGGGGAUGGGCUCGUGGCCUAUCUGCUUGUUGGUGGGGUGAUGGCCUACCAAGGCGGUGACGGGUAGCCGGCCUGAGAGGGUGACCGGCCACAGUGGGACGGAGAUACGGCACAGAGUCCUACGGGAGGCAGCAGUGGGGGAUAUUGCUGAAUGGGCGAAGGCCUGAUGCAGCGACUCUGCGUGGGGGAUGAAGGCUUUCGGGUUGUAAACCUCUGUCGCUAUCGAACGGGUAGCUGGAGAAGAAGCGCCGGCUAACUACGUGCCAGCAGCCGCGGUAAUAC
rnacentral:rRNA from 1 species